GUCUAUGGCUAUGCUACCCUGAACACGCCUGAUCUCGGCAGCUAAGCAGGAUCAGGCCUGAUUAGUACUUGGAUGGGAGACCACCUAGGAAGACCAGGUGCUGUAGACG
rnacentral:rRNA from 1 species